GAUGAACGCUGGCGGCGUGCCUAAUACAUGCAAGUCGAGCGAACAGAUGAGGAGCUUGCUCCUCUUACGUUAGCGGCGGACGGGUGAGUAACACGUGGAUAACCUACCUAUAAGACUGGGAUAACUUCGGGAAACCGGAGCUAAUACCGGAUAAUAUAUUGAACCGCAUGGUUCAAUAGUGAAAGACGGUUUUGCUGUCACUGAUAGAUGGAUCCGCGCCGCAUUAGCUAGUUGGUAAGGUAACGGCUUACCAAGGCAACGAUGCGUAGCCGACCUGAGAGGGUGAUCGGCCACACUGGAACUGAGACACGGUCCAGACUCCUACGGGAGGCAGCAGUAGGGAAUCUUCCGCAAUGGGCGCAAGCCUGACGGAGCCACGCCGCGUGAGUGAUGAAGGUCUUCGGAUCGUAAAACUCUGUUAUUAGGGAAGAACAAAUGUGUAAGUAACUCUGCACGUCUUGACGGUACCUACUCAGAAAGCCACGGCUAACUACGUG
rnacentral:rRNA from 1 species